rnacentral:snRNA from 1 species
GGAUGUGAGGGCAAUCUGGCUGCGACAUCUGUCACCCCAUUGAUUGCCAGGGUUGAUUCAGCUGAUCUGGGUGGCUAGGUGGGUGUCCCCUUCCUCCCUCACCUCUCCAUGUACAUCCCUCCUGAAGCUGUGCGCUCGGUCAAAGAGGACAACCUUCCCCAAUAGAGGUGUACCGGUCAUCGGUCAAGGGUAUACGGCAGCUGCGCUCCCCUGCUAGAACCUCCAAACAAGCUCAAGGUCCAUUUGUAGGAAGUCAAGCUUCCAAGACUGCAGACACAUCCAAGUGAGGCACUGCAUUAGUGCCUAUUUUU